UUCGCCACCGUUCGAACCUGAGACGGAUCGCGUCCGAUGAUUUACGGACCGAGCACUCGGGGCGCCGGCCGCCGGGGUGUCGGGUGACAUAUCACGUGACUCGGUCCAGCGUGUCGCGGUUUGCCGUCGGAUAGCCAUCUAGUUGACGGCUGUUGCUUGUCGCCGUUGGUUUGGUACUAUACGUCGUCGUCGUGUCGUGAGAAAGCAUGCUCGAGCACUGGGGCCGCGCGUGCUUCGUCGUGUCUCUCGUGAUCAUGGGAGGAGUGGUUGUGAGUGGCUUGUACCACUUGCUAUAUCAAGUCAGUCAGGACAUGAACGAAUUGGUGAGUCCAUCUGUCAGGAUGAUGAAUCCCAAAUGAUUGGAUUAAUGAAUUUUAUUGUCUGCCGGGGGGCCCAAACUGUUCCCUUUUCGUUUGAUGGGCCUGGUCUUGUGGACAGACAAGCUCGAUGGGCCGUGUGGAAUCGUCGCUGGGCCGACUUCUUCCAUCCCUGGACGAUGCCGCCCUGGAAGGUGCCCUUACGAACCAAACGGGGCGCAUCCUCGACGCCAUCCGUGCCGCUUUGCGUUACUAACAGGGAUGCGGUGAGGAGGAGUAGACCUGCGUCGUAUAUCCAAGCUCACCACCGACUUCAGUCUCAGUGAGGUCUUUGUUACUUGUGCUGCGAGUGCGACAUUUGCGCCUACCACGCGGGUCUGUGUCAAGUUGAUUUGGUUCCUACAUGUGAAGGCAGCUGUAAUUUGUUUUGCGUCAUGCGUUUCCCGUACUCAAGAAUAGACGUUGUUAUUUGUUUGUC